CACAUUGAAAUUAACAAUUAUAGAUCACUGUACAGCCUUCAAUAAUGAGCAAAGCCCGUACCGCAUAGUCAGCUAUAAAAGGCCCCAACAUUACAAUGUAAAACAAUUUAACAUGUUCAAGCAAGAAAACUAAUUAAAGGGCCUUAUGUAUGUAAAAAAAACAAACGAAAAACAAAUAUGAUCACAUAAACAAACGACAACC
rnacentral:lncRNA from 1 species